CGAAACCGUCGCAACCUCUCGGGGAAAGGGGUUGAGCGCCGGGGAGCUCACGGCGGCUUCCCAAGGGAGGGAGCAGCGCGGUGCCCCCCCGGGAUUAGGAAUAAACCAUGUCCAUGUAGAAGAAACCCAGUCCUUCUCUUCCAGGCUGGCGAGAGCGGGUCCUACCUGCCUCGGACCCCCCUGCGCCCGAUCAAAGGCCCCUGACCCCAAAAUGACGCGGGAUCGAUGGCUCUGGAACAGGGUCCAAGGGUGCCAGGAGCGUAGGGGCACCUCAGCAGAAUCCCUAUUGCCAGGGUUCCAGGAAUCGAGCCAUCUCCACAAUGUAUUUUUAUUCUGUCUAAUUAAUAGGGCACUAGGGAGCAUCAAAGGAAUUUUAAGGGGAAGGAGAAGGGAGGGAAGAUGCUGAAGCUGGGUCAUUCCCAAGACUUUGGGUUUGCAAGGUCCGCUGACUCAUCUGGAGAGAGGGCUGCAGCACUUGGAUACUGUGCGGCGGCAGGGCUCCUGCACAGAGUGAUGGAUCUCAGGUUACAGAGUGCUGGUGCAAUUAAUGGGACCCAUUUCCAGGCUUCCUAGGCAAAAUUGGCAUUACUUGCAACAGGUGAGCAAUGCGUGCUGCAGCCCCAGGACAGCCUGGCAACCUUGUCCAGAGGCUGCAGUUCCUGUAUCAGUUCCUAGAGCUGCUUGUCGGGAAUCACUCAGCCUAAAAGAACUCCUGGGAUCCCAGUCCCUGCCUCCCCAUUUCAAAAUGCAUGGGUGAGAAUAAAACUAUAUCCAUAA